rnacentral:lncRNA from 1 species
UAGUGCGUGUUAGUAGUGUGAGAGUGACAGUCAGAUGAGAUCAUUGGCAUUACCGUGACGUUGCGUGACGUUUCAAGUUGAUAUAAAGGCUUGAAGCGGAAGCAGAUUGUUUAGAGCUGCCCUCGCCGGUGAGUCGAUAGGAUCGAUCCCGGCAUCAUCAUGGACCUCACGGACGCUCGCUACAGAUUCACACACACACUCCUGUUCGUUCUUGCAGUUUGUCUGACGUUUCCUGGAGCCGCUGCAGAGACUCAGCCCGAUCUACACUGUAAUGUGACCCGACGACCCGACGGCUCGACUCUGUACCGUGUCUCUGAGCCCCGCUGGUCACACAGAUGUACGAGAGAUUGGAUGUACCGGAACAAAACUGUCGUUGCCAGAGACUCCGACACUGAUGCAGCCUGGGUCCUGAAUGUGACGGAGACCUCCAUCACCCUGAGAGGCUGCGAGGACUUCCUGCACCACACACGGGACUGCAGCGAGGGCUUUCAGGAGGCUCGCUGCACAGUCAACUGCAGCGGUCUCCUGGUCGAGAGCCAGCCCCCCACUGUGAACUCCACGCUGAUCUGCAUCAAUCAGAGUUUCUGUCUGCAGCCGUUUUGGAUUGGGAUCGUCAUCGUUGUCAUCGUCAUCGCUCUCGGUGUCGGCGUCUACGUCCAUCGGUGCGUCUGGAAACGCAAGAGACCAGAGGCGACGACAAAUACGGUCAAAUACAGCGCAGGGAAAGCCGUUAUUAAGGUUUAGAUAGAUCAGGAUAUUGAUAUUCGUCUGUGGAAGACGUCUGUAUUAUAAAGAAACUAUAAUCAAUCAGAAUAAGAGUUAUAUAGUAAUUUUAAUAAAUAAGAGUUAUAUAUUAUUAUUAUUAUUAUUAUAUGUUCCUUGAUAGAGUUCCUGUUGUACAGAGCAGUGGCUGCCAGCCGGGUCACCUCAGCUGAGUUCAGACUGUUAUCUUACUUCCAGUUAUUGACGUUAUUUUCAUACAGUAGAUUUGAAUGUUUCAGUCCGUCGGGUAUUUUAGGUGAAGCCUUCUUUCGUACUCUGUCCACAUGGAGUGGCAACAGCUACGAUUUAAACAUCAUCUCAUUAGCUUUAGCUGAUUAUUUAACCUCCUCUCGCCUGCUAACUAGUAUUCAUCCAUUCUUUAGUUGGAUAUGAAUCAUUUUAGUGGCAUUACUUUUAAAUCGAAUCAUGAAUUCUUGUCUCCAGUUAGUCGAACUUCUCCCGGUUGGAAAUCACUCUCUCAGACUUUGUACAGAGUUUGUACACAGGUCAGUUUAUCUGUUAGAUCUCAUCUCGACUUCUCAGAAGUCGAGUCCAAAGCUGUCUAACUUUUACGUUUUAUUUCCUUCAUACGAUGUAAUUGUAUAUUUUUUGAUUUAUUGUCUUUUUGUUGGGUUAUCAUGAUUUUAUUGUUGUAAAUGAUCCUUUUCUUAUCUGAGUUUUUCACAUGAAACUCAAAUCGUUUUGAAUCAUGUUUCUGCUGUUUAACCACCUGAGACAGAGAUAUUGAGUAAUGCAGCUUUAAAGACACUGAACUGAGCCUGAUGCUGGUGUUCAUGGUGCUCAGAGGAGAGAUCACGAUUAUUAGUUCAUGAUGUCACUGCACAAUACUCACAGUAAAGUGUCUGAAUGGAUUUUGUAUACACUGGACCUGAUGAGCAUGUUGUUAAUCUGUUGUUCUGUAUAUACAGAAAUGUAUUUUUAUUCGCUUGAUGUCACUGGUGGCGGGUUAUCUUUGUACUGUAUGUGGUUUUUUUAUCACUUGGGUGCUUUCUGCUAAAUAAAAUGAUUUGAAACGUCUCUCACUGGUUUCCUGUCGAUAGUAAAUUAAUUAUGACUCAUUUUAAAUGUUAAUGUUCAGUUUUUAACAUAAAAAUAAACACAAGCUGUGGUGACGACGUUUAGCUUCUGAAUUCAAAAUGUUUCUUCAGUUAACAUUCAGAAAUGUACUUA